rnacentral:rRNA from 1 species
UUUAUCGGAGAGUUUGAUCCUGGCUCAGGACGAACGCUGGCGGCGUGCCUAAUACAUGCAAGUCGAGCGGACUGAUGGGAGCUUGCUCCCAUCAGUCAGCGGCGGACGGGUGAGUAACACGUGGGUAACCUGCCUGUAAGACUGGGAUAACUCCGGGAAACCGGGGCUAAUACCGGAUAACUCAUUUCCUCGCAUGAGGAAAUGUUGAAAGGUGGCUUUUAGCUAUCACUUACAGAUGGACCCG